GAUGAACGCUGGCGGCGUGCCUAAUACAUGCAAGUCGAACGGAGAUUGUAGCAAUACGGUCUUAGUGGCGAACGGGUGAGUAACGCGUUGGUAACCUGCCCCGAAGCGUGGGAUAACGGUCCGAAAGGACCACUAAUACCACAUGUGAUCCCGAGGAAUAGAUACUUGGGAUGAAAGGAGCAAUUCGCUUCGGGAGGGACCUGCGUCCCAUCAGCUAGUUGGUAGGGUAACGGCCUACCAAGGCGAUGACGGGUAGGGGACCUGAGAGGGUGGCCCCCCAAAUGGAACUGAAACACGGUCCAUACACCUACGGGUGGCAGCAGUAGGGAAUAUUGGUUAAUGUGCGAAAGCGCGAACCAGCAACGCCGCGUGUGCGAUGAAGGCCUUCGGGUCGUAAAGCACUUUUUGCAGGGAAGAGGAAGGACGGUACCUGCAGAAUAAGUCUCGGCUAACUACGUG
rnacentral:rRNA from 1 species